rnacentral:tRNA from 1 species
CUGUAGCGCAAUUGAUAGCGCGUUGGGCCUCUAAUCCAAAGGUCGUGCGUUCGAAUUUCACCUGAAAUGG